rnacentral:lncRNA from 1 species
UCUCCUCGAAGCGCUGAGCCAGCACGAUGCACAUAAGGGAAGGAGGAAGGUGGCUUGAGGGCAGUGACCGAGCGGACAGCGGAAGCCCAUUUCAGGAGCCCCGGUACCCGAGCUCGGGCCCCUUUCCAAUCCCCCAGGCGUCCUUCCCAUGUCCUUGUCUCCUAGUCCUGGGAAUCCACGGCCACUCCACUCUCCUGCAGUACCGCGGACAAGAACACCAUGUACUCUUCACAGGCAGGUGUCUUCUGGUGGACCCAACUCUGUUGGUACUUGUCGUCUCCAAAAAGUCCCCAAAUGCGCUAGAGGCCAGCCAGCCCGGUAUCCGAGAGGGAAGGAGGUGGAACGCAUCAGAGGCCACGAAAGGAGCACAAAGGGGGACCGCUGGCCUAAGACAAAGGAGGCGCGAGGAAAAACGCGGAGCUCGCGUCUCCCAGGGUGAUGCCCGGCGCCGCUGGC